UCUGUUAACCGUUAAACUCUCGAAGGACAUAUAUUCUGUCUUAAUCUAAAAAGAAUCUUAAGGUAUUGAUUUUUGCAUUAUCAGAUUCUCUAGUCGAAUAAGAAUCACCUAUUUCCUUUUUGAGGUUCCUCUUCUUCUUUUUUUUUUUGGGUAGAGACAGAAUAAUGAGUGGCACAAAGCCUUUUCUUCGUUUGUUCCCAUUAGACUUGUUUCUAUAACCUUAUGUUUGCUGGACUCUGCCUUGGCCAUCUCUCACUGAACUUCAACGUCUUUGUUUGGGAUCAUACCUCUAGAUAGAUGGUCUCACUAAUUUUUUCCCCCUUGUAUAACCUGAAUAAACCCGGUAAAACCUAUUUUCAACAAUUUUUUAUCUGCGCUUUGGAGUGUUAUGAAAUGGCCAUGAGUCAAACGGUCAUGCAGGUUUCACAGUGGCCGAGUUUGUUUAGUUAGAAGUCACUAUGGUAGAGACGUGAAGAAAAGAAAGUUGAAGUCGUUUGAGUAUGUUGUUAACUCUGUUUGGUAUGUGUGAAAUAGUGGAGCAGAGCAUAUUCCAUGCUUUCACAAAUAGAUACUUUAAAUAGCUAUAGAUGAAGAAGAAAGCAGAGCAGGAAAUGGUUAAAAUUAACCGAAAUGGUUAAAAUUAACCGAAAUGGUAAAUCAUGUUGAUGCUCAUUUGCCACAAUAAUGUAUCCACCCGUUUCUAGGAAAAGGCUAUUUUCCCAUAUCCUCUCGUUGGGAAAAAUCCAAAUCAUAUGUACAAUAUGUUGAUGUCCA